rnacentral:rRNA from 1 species
AACGCGAAGAACCUUACCUGGGCUAGACAACGGCGGACCGCCUGAGAAAUCAGGUUUUCCCUUCGGGGACUGCCGGUUCAGGUGUUGCAUGGCUGUCGUCAGCUCGUGUCGUGAGAUGUUGGGUUAAGUCCCGCAACGAGCGCAACCCCCGUCGCAUGUUGCCAGCAUUUAGUUGGGGACUCAUGCGAGACUGCCGGUGACAAACCGGAGGAAGGUGGGGAUGACGUCAAGUCAUCAUGCCCCUUAUGUCCAGGGCUACACACGUGCUACAUUGGCGCGUACAGAGGGCUGCGAUACCGCGAGGUGGAGCGAAUCCCUUAAAGCGCGUCUCGGUUCGGAUUGCAGGCUGAAACUCGCCUGCAUGAAGGCGGAGUUGCUAGUAAUCGCGGAUCAGCACUGCCGCGGUGAAUACGUUCCCGGGCCUUGUACACACCGCGCAUA